AAAGACCGCCAGAUUCAAAAUUUGAGCUUUUCCCUCUUCACUCGCAGUUACUAGGGGAAUCCUUGUUAGUUUCUUUUCCUCCGCUUAUUGAUAUGCUUAAGUUCAGCGGGUAGUCCUACCUGAUUUGAGGUCAAAAGUCAAUUAGGAAGACCCUGUUCUCUCCGGAGAGAUAGUAAGCGGUCGACGUAUUAGAGGCGCGGAACCUUCGGUCACGUGCUUCAGCGAACGGCGAUCAUUAUCACGCCGAAAGCCUUGUCGCACAUAGUCGAAAGUCGACCGCAAGCCGAUGCAUUUCAGAAGAGCCYGAGUCUUGGACGAAUCCGAGUCUCCGGCAACCUCCACCAUCCAAGCACCCUCUCGAAGCUAAUCGAGAGGGGUUGAGAAUUUACUGACACUCAAACAGGCAUGCUCCUCGGAACACCGAGGAGCGCAAGGUGCGUUCAAAGAUUCGAUGAUUCACUGUAGAUCUGCAAUUCACAUUACAUAUCGCUUUUCGCUGCGUUCUUCAUCGAUGCGAGAGCCAAGAGAUCCGUUGCUGAAAGUUGUAAUAACUUUUAUCUCAAAGAAUCGCGUCUCCUAGAAGUCGCGACUCGAUGAUAGUAAACAUUCGAGGACUUUCUACACGAAGAUGUAUACGAAGACAUAGGUCCCCCCCCCC
rnacentral:misc_RNA from 1 species